UACGUAGGGGGCAAGCGUUGUCCGGAUUUAUUGGGCGUAAAGGGCGCGCAGGCGGUCUCCUCAGUUUUGAGUGACAGGUGGUGGCUUAACUACCACAGGCCUUGAAAUACUGGGAGACUUGAGGACUUCAGAGGGAUGCGGAAUUCCAGGUGGAGCGGUGAAAUGCGUAGAGAUCUGGAAGAACACCAAUGGCGAAGGCAGCAUCCUGGGAAGUAUCUGACGCUGAGGUGCGAAAGCCAGGGGAGCGAACGGG
rnacentral:rRNA from 1 species